CAAACAUUAUUUACAAAAUUUAUCGAGGUUCCAAAUCCAAAAUAUAAAACAUACAAAAUACUAAAAACUACAACUCAUUAUCCGCAACUUCAUUCUCAGCCUCAUCCAUUCUAUUAUCGAUAUUUCGUUGAUAUAUUCAGCUAUAAUCAGUUUUCAUCUACACAAUCAAUCAAAUUCAAGUGAUUAGUUCAAGUCACAAAAGUUCACAUUUCAAAUACCUACACCUAAACAUUUUCAAGUAACUAAUUCACUUCA
rnacentral:lncRNA from 1 species